rnacentral:rRNA from 1 species
GGGGAAUAUUGCACAAUGGGCGCAAGCCUGAUGCAGCGACGCCGCGUGCGGGAUGACGGCCUUCGGGUUGUAAACCGCUUUUGAUCGGGAGCAAGCCUUCGGGUGAGUGUACCUUUCGAAUAAGCACCGGCUAACUACGUGCCAGCAGCCGCGGUAAUACGUAGGGUGCAAGCGUUAUCCGGAAUUAUUGGGCGUAAAGGGCUCGUAGGCGGUUCGUCGCGUCCGGUGUGAAAGUCCAUCGCUUAACGGUGGAUCUGCGCCGGGUACGGGCGGGCUGGAGUGCGGUAGGGGAGACUGGAAUUCCCGGUGUAACGGUGGAAUGUGUAGAUAUCGGGAAGAACACCAAUGGCGAAGGCAGGUCUCUGGGCCGUUACUGACGCUGAGGAGCGAAAGCGUGGGGAGCGAACAGGAUUAGAUACCCUGGUAGUCCACGCCGUAAACGGUGGAUGCUGGAUGUGGGGCCCGUUCCACGGGUUCCGUGUCGGAGCUAACGCGUUAAGCAUCCCGCCUGGGGAGUACGGCCGCAAGGCUAAAACUCAAAGAAAUUGACGGGGGCCCGCACAAGCGGCGGAGCAUGCGGAUUAAUUCGAUGCAACGCGAAGAACCUUACCUGGGCUUGACAUGUUCCCGACAGCCGUAGAGAUAUGGCCUCCCUUCGGGGCGGGUUCACAGGUGGUGCAUAGUCGUCGUCAGCUCGUGUCGUGAGAUGUUGGGUUAAGUCCCGCAACGAGCGCAACCCUCGCCCUGUGUUGCCAGCACGUCAUGGUGGGAACUCACGGGGGACCGCCGGGGUCAACUCGGAGGAAGGUGGGGAUGACGUCAGAUCAUCAUGCCCCUUACGUCCAGGGCUUCACGCAUGCUACAAUGGCCGGUACAACGGGAUGCGACACGGCGACGUGGAGCGGAUCCCUGAAAACCGGUCUCAGUUCGGAUUGGAGUCUGCAACCCGACUCCAUGAAGGCGGAGUCGCUAGUAAUCGCGGAUCAGCAACGCCGCGGUGAAUGCGUUCCCG